rnacentral:rRNA from 1 species
AGUCUGCAACUCGACUCCAUGAAGUCGGAAUCGCUAGUAAUCGCAGAUCAGAAUGCUGCGGUGAAUACGUUCCCGGGCCUUGUACACACCGCCCGUCACACCAUGGGAGUCUAUUGCACCAGAAGUAGGUAGCCUAACGAAAGAGGGCGCUUACCACGGUGUGGUCGAU